GAUGAAGAACGUAGCAAAAUGCGAUACUUGGUGUGAAUUGCAGAAUCCCGUGAACCAUCGAGUUUUUGAACGCAAGUUGCGCCCGAAGCCUUUUGGCCGAGGGCACGUCUGCCUGGGCGUCACAUAUCGUUGCCUGAUGCCAGUUUCCUCGUGAUGGGUGACUGUGCAGGGCGAAUGAUGGCUUCCCGUGAGCAUUGUUGCCUCAUGGUUGGUUGAAAAUUGAGUCCUUGGUAGGGAGCGCCGUGAUAGAUGGUGGUUGAGUGACGAACGAGACCCAAUCAUGUGAGACCCCUACCGAAUUUGGCCUUCAUGACCCACAUGCGUCUUUGGAACGCUCAUGACGAGACCUCAGGUCAGGCGGGGCUACCCGCUGAGUUUAAGCAUAUCAAUAAGCGGAGGA
rnacentral:misc_RNA from 1 species